CUUAGGAAAUGUUACUAAUUUUACGCAACAAUAUCUUAAGCUAAUACCGAUUUAAAUUGAGCAGCAGAACAUUUGCAGAAAUAGUGUUUUAAUGAAUUAUUCACUUGUUCGAACUUGGCACAGCUGAUUAUUGGAUUACUCCAUCCCCAUCUUGUUUGAUUCCAAUGAAUUCUGGCAUCAGGGGUGCGAGCUGAAAAAGAAAGAGAAAAUAAUUAAUAUUGAUUGGCCCACACAGAUGCAAAAUAUAUUCAAGGACGAAAGUGGGUGCAGAACUGUGUAACUCGACUACUCCACUUGGCCAGGUGCUCUAAGGUGCUGAAAGGAAAACAAACUUUACAGCAUUGGUGAUUCCGUUGUAAGUAGGUACUUGAGCCAUCAUGGCAUCUCCAGGUUCCAAGGUCAUCUCGAAGACCUUGCUGCAAGCAUCCAUUGAUCCCGAAGUGAUGUGCACGUCCCAGUUAGGGUAGUUUAUGGUAUGCCAGUGUUCCUGGAACUCUCGUAUCUUCUUCAUGAGUGGCAGGUCACAGAGAGCUCCUCAAAGGGAAACGUCUCGGCGUUGGGCAUCCCGUUGGCCAGGCUCACGGAUUUAGGCCUCUUCAUGAACUCUAAUGCUGCAAUGCAUAGGAAAUUAUAAAUAGACUGUCCAUGUUUAUACAUAUUCAUAUUCUUAUAUAUACAAAUGAACAGAUGAACAGAAAUUUAAAUUGAAUUAUAGCGUAACAUGUAUUUUAUUUUCUUUGUUCGCUUUUAAUUUUUAUAUUUAUAUUUUAUUUUUCUUGAAUAUUCUUGAAUAGAUAAAUAUCCCCAGUUUGAUUAUUAUUUAUUUAAACAGUGUUCCUUUGAAAGUGUGAACCAGUGGUAACUUCAGAAGCUAUUUAAUUCAAUUGAAAUAUCCAAUACUGAAACUCAAGGUUGCUUUGUUAACAUUGUUAGAUAUUAAGAUAACGAUAGAGAUAGAGAAAAGUAUACACAAGGAAAUCAUUCUUACCCCAUUUCCGGAGAAUGCUGGAUUUUCGUCUAUUUGAGACUGCAGUGACGAAUUUUGCAAAGUCCAUUUUAUUAUUUGUUGUUCACCAAACACCGGUUGCUUUUCAAGUAUUUUCUAUUAAUUCAUUCGACAAUAUCUUCUACUUUGAUCGAUGUUAUUCUAUUAAAUAUUCACAAACUCUUUAAAAACCUGAGGUCUUCGUUAAUUUGUAUAACAAUAGUUUAAUGCGCUGAUGUAUUACUAGAUUUUCCAGCUUCACGCCACGAAGUAUCAGAAAUUAAUUUAACAAAGUUUCAGAGAACGAUUAAUUCCGAAUUAACACUCGAGCUUCUCGACAAGUAUCUGACAGACUAUGUACCAUUCGAGAGCGAUAUAAACGGAUCCGUGUUUAUCAAAGAUACUACUUAUCAUUUUAAGCUGUCGUGAAGUCAUCGUUAUCAAUAUAAUUCAUUGUAAACAGUUCCUCUUAAUAAAAGUGAUCUACUCUGAGAAGCGUUUGUUGAUUCCACUGUUCGUUAUGCAAACAUUGUUUAACGCUACUUCUUUGUCCCGCGUUUACAUUUAUAAACAUUAAUAAUCGAAUUACACGUUCUCGAGCAGCGAACGAGAUUUAUUUCUUAAAUAAAUUCCCAGAGGAUUCUCUUUAGGAAAGAAAAGCUUAGCGAGAGGGAGGCGCCAUGAAAGAAAAUGAUAGUAGGAAACGGUGAAAGUUUUAUUGUUCGUACAUCAGGAAAGAUUUGUUUAAAACAAUACGAAAGAGCGAUGGAGGUUUUACGCGAUCACGAACAUCAUCAUAAUCAUAAAUUCGAUUAUUGUUCUCGUCGUAUUUCUACUUCGACUAUCAUCUCUGAUCUAAUUCGCAAAUUUUAACCAUUCUUCUCCUCGCCUUUAUUUUUAAUCAUUCGUUUCCUCCUCCAUUUUACUCUGGAUAAACUUUCUCCUGUUUUGUUACGAUUACGAUGACAACAAUUCGGUAGACAACGUAAUUUUAUUGUUUCAGUUUCUCGUGAUCGCUGCGAUGAAUCGUCAUCUAAAUGAUAACGGAAGAAAAUCCGGCGGAAAGGCACCGAGAGAAGUUUUUCGCGUUGUAACGUGAUUGUUAAACGUUUAACCGGGUCCGCGUUUACGCAGAUUUCCUUUCUCGAUAUACCGCGAUAUAAAAAUGCAAACACCGGUGGUCGCUAUCGAAUGAAACAUUAAAUAAAGUAACAAAAUACAAAAAAAAAAAAAGAA